rnacentral:lncRNA from 1 species
UAGAAAGAGAAAGGACCACCUCGCUGCCGCCCAGGCUGGCUCUAAUAAAGGAAAAACCUUUGAUUUCUGCUGAUUCAGUGGGAAAGCCUGUUGAGGGCAAGUUGGAUUCACCACCAGUCGUCAGCCAGAUUAAGCUUGCACACAUUGAAAAGAGAGCUCCGAGGGUGGCUAGGCCGCCUCCCAAACCAGUGGGCGGGCCCCCAAGUGCAGAUGGUAAGGGCCCCACUACUCCAGGAGGCAUACCACCUCCGCCACCGCGCCCGCCAUUGCCGCCAGGCGCACCUCCACCUCCACCACCACCUGGUGGGCCACCUCGCCCUCCUCCUCCCCCCCCACCUGGAAGCCUCCCGAAAGGCGGCGGAGGUGCAGACAAGGUGCACAGGGCUCCUGAGCUGGUCGAAUUUUAUCAGUCUUUGAUGAAGCGUGAAUCCAAGAAGGAAGUAUCCCCCGGAGGGGCCGCAGCAUCCAAUGUGGCAAGUGCCAGGA